UACAGAGGUCUCAACCGUUGUUCGGAUUCAUUGGGCGUAAAGGGUGCGUAGGCGGUCGUGCAAGUCGGAUGUGAAAUCUCAGGGCUUAACCCUGAAACUGCAUUCGAUACUGCGCGGCUAGAGUGCUGGAGGGGAGACUGGAAUUUACGGUGUAGCAGUGAAAUGCGUAGAUAUCGUAAGGAAGACCAGUGGCGAAGGCGAGUCUCUGGACAGCAACUGACGCUGAGGCACGAAGGCCAGGGGAGCAAACGGG
rnacentral:rRNA from 1 species